ACCUGGCUAGCUUAGUUGGAAGAGCAUGAGACUCUUGAUCUCAGGAUUGUGAGUUGAAGCCCCACACUGAGUG
rnacentral:tRNA from 1 species